ACGCUCGACACCUACGGAAGGCAGCAGUGGGGAAUAUUGCACAAUGGGGGAAACCCUGAUGCAGCGACGCCGCGUGAAGGAAGAAGUAUCUCGGUAUGUAAACUUCUAUCAGCAGGGAAGAAAAUGACGGUACCUGACUAAGAAGCCCCGGCUAACUACGUGCCAGCAGCCGUGGUAAUCUGAGCGGGCUGGCAAGGC
rnacentral:rRNA from 1 species